GGCAUCUCCUGAAGCAUCAGAGUGCAAACAGGGACCCUUCAGUCUCACAAACUUUAUUUUCUUUCUUUCAGAAACCAAAGUGAAGGGGUGGACAUAUGGAUGCUUGAGUAUCUGUCUAAUACAGCAUCAAGAUAGAGCUGUAGCUUAUACCCAGACUUGGUUAACUCACUUUAUGAUUCUCAUGACCUGAAUCAAAAAAUAGCUUUAAGAUGGCUGAAUGGAUACUCCUCUAGUGAAUUGUUUUCUAUAAUGUUGUUGAUAUUUGUGGAAGCUGCUAAAGAUGGAAAAGUGCAUCUGGUCACUUGGGAAGGCAAACACUGCACAGCUGUUCCUCCUACAGCUGCUAGGGUGCUGCUCCAGGGUGCACUUUCAAAGUUGGUAUUGAAUAAGUGGUCCUGCAGCAUGGUGGGUUUGCUUAGGCAGGUCACACAGGUUAGAGCCUCUCAGCUCACUUCAGUGUUCCUGGGUUGGAGUUAUCUCAACCACUUUCUUUUCCUAUUAUUUUGUUUUAUGUUAUACCAGCUAAGCCUCUGUGUAUCUUGCGGUACCUCUGGUAGUCGUGUCAUGUCACAUUGA
rnacentral:lncRNA from 1 species